rnacentral:rRNA from 1 species
AAUCAACGCUGGCGGCGUGCCUAACACAUGCAAGUCGAACGCGAAAGCCCCGCAAGGGGUAAGUAGAGUGGCAAACGGGUGAGUAACACGUGGGUGACCUGCCUUCGAGUGGGGGAUAACGUCCCGAAAGGGACGCUAAUACCGCAUGACAUCCUGCUUUUGAAAAAGCGGAGAUCAAAGCUGGGGAUCGCAAGACCUAGCGCUUGAGGAGGGGCCCGCGCCUGAUUAGCUAGUUGGUGAGGUAACGGCUCACCAAGGCGACGAUCAGUAUCCGGCCUGAGAGGGCGGACGGACACACUGGGACUGAGACACGGCCCAGACUCCUACGGGAGGCAGCAGUGGGGAAUUGUUCGCAAUGGGCGCAAGCCUGACGACGCAACGCCGCGUGGAGGACGAAGAUCUUCGGGUCGUAAACUCCUGUCGAGCGGGACGAACGCUUCGCGGAUGAAUAAUCCGCGGAAUUGACGGUACCGCUAAAGGAAGCCCCGGCUAACUCCGUG